rnacentral:rRNA from 1 species
GAUGAACGCUGGCGGCGUGCCUAAUACAUGCAAGUCGAGCGAACAGACGAGGAGCUUGCUCCUCUGACGUUAGCGGCGGACGGGUGAGUAACACGUGGAUAACCUACCUAUAAGACUGGGAUAACUUCGGGAAACCGGAGCUAAUACCGGAUAAUAUAUUGAACCGCAUGGUUCAAUAGUGAAAGACGGUUUUGCUGUCACUUAUAGAUGGAUCCGCGCCGCAUUAGCUAGUUGGUAAGGUAACGGCUUACCAAGGCAACGAUGCGUAGCCGACCUGAGAGGGUGACCGGCCACACUGGAACUGAGACACGGUCCAGACUCCUACGGGAGGCAGCAGUAGGGAAUCUUCCGCAAUGGGCGAAAGCCUGACGGAGCAACGCCGCGUGAGUGAUGAAGGUCUUCGGAUCGUAAACCUCUUUUAUUAGGGAAGAACAAAUGUGUAAGUAACUAUGCACGUCUUGACGGUACCUAAUCAGAAAGCCACGGCUAACUACGUG